UCCCUUGUUUUCUAGUGGUUAGGAUAUCUAGCUUUCAUUCAGAAGGCCCAGGUUCGAAUACCAGCGUGGGAA